AGAGACAGGCGGAUUUCUGAGUAGAGGACAGCCUGGUCUACAGAGUGAGUUCCAGGACAGCCAGGGCUACACAGAGAAACCCUGUCUAAACAGGGUUUCUCUGUGUAGCCCUGGCUGUCUUGGAACUCACUCUGUAGACCAGGCUGUCCUCUACUCAGAAAUCCACCUGCCUCUGCCUCCCAGGUGCUGGGAUUAAAGGUGAUUGCCACCACCAUCCAGC
ensembl:misc_RNA Gm22642 predicted gene, 22642